AUUGAACGCUGGCGGCAUGCUUUACACAUGCAAGUCGAACGGUAACAGGCCUUCGGGUGCUGACGAGUGGCGAACGGGUGAGUAAUGCAUCGGGACGUACCCAGAGGUGGGGGAUAGCGCAGCGAAAGCUGUGCUAAUACCGCAUGUGAUCUGAGGAUGAAAGCGGGGGACCGAGCAGCAAUGUUUGGCCUCGCGCCUUUGGAGCGGCCGAUGUCGGAUUAGCUAGUUGGUGGGGUAAAGGCCUACCAAGGCGACGAUCCGUAGCUGGUCUGAGAGGACGACCAGCCACACUGGGACUGAGACACGGCCCAGACUCCUACGGGAGGCAGCAGUGGGGAAUUUUGGACAAUGGGCGCAAGCCUGAUCCAGCAAUGCCGCGUGCGGGAAGAAGGCCUUCGGGUUGUAAACCGCUUUUGGCAGGAACGAAACGGUGUCCGCUAAUACCGGGCGCUAAUGACGGUACCUGCAGAAUAAGCACCGGCUAACUACGUG
rnacentral:rRNA from 1 species